rnacentral:rRNA from 1 species
CAAGUCGAGCGAACGGACGAGAAGCUUGCUUCUCUGAUGUUAGCGGCGGACGGGUGAGUAACACGUGGAUAACCUACCUAUAAGACUGGGAUAACUUCGGGAAACCGGAGCUAAUACCGGAUAAUAUUUUGAACCGCAUGGUUCAAAAGUGAAAGACGGUCUUGCUGUCACUUAUAGAUGGAUCCGCGCUGCAUUAGCUAGUUGGUAAGGUAACGGCUUACCAAGGCAACGAUGCAUAGCCGACCUGAGAGGGUGAUCGGCCACACUGGAACUGAGACACGGUCCAGACUCCUACGGGAGGCAGCAGUAGGGAAUCUUCCGCAAUGGGCGAAAGCCUGACGGAGCAACGCCGCGUGAGUGAUGAAGGUCUUCGGAUCGUAAAACUCUGUUAUUAGGGAAGAACAUAUGUGUAAGUAACUGUGCACAUCUUGACGGUACCUAAUCAGAAAGCCACGGCUAACUACGUGCCAGCAGCCGCGGUAAUACGUAGGUGGCAAGCGUUAUCCGGAAUUAUUGGGCGUAAAGCGCGCGUAGGCGGUUUUUUAAGUCUGAUGUGAAAGCCCACGGCUCAACCGUGGAGGGUCAUUGGAAACUGGAAAACUUGAGUGCAGAAGAGGAAAGUGGAAUUCCAUGUGUAGCGGUGAAAUGCGCAGAGAUAUGGAGGAACACCAGUGGCGAAGGCGACUUUCUGGUCUGU